UAUCUUAUUAUAUUUCUUCUUAUUUCAUUAACUUCUGUAUUAUUGUCGUGAACUCCUUUUUUACUUUGAUGAACUACUGAAAUUAAACGUUUCAGUAUUUUUAAAAUCUUUUUGAAAGGAAAUGCAUUUAAAGCUAUACAUUUUCCUCAGAGUGCUUCUUUGGCUAUAUUUUACGGGUUUUGAUGUAUAACGUUCUCAAUUACAUUCACUUUGAAUAGCUUUCAAUUUUACCUUAGAUUUCUUUUGACACUGUUUUUUAUUUUAACAUGUUUACUUUUGGGGAAAGAAGCUACCCUUUUAUUCUUUGUAUCUGGAUUUCGUCUAUAUAUGAGCUUGUUAUGAUUUGUACACUUUCAAAUUAAGAUGUUACUGGGAGAAAAGGAUACAGUUGAUUUUUAUAAAAUUUCCACACAUUUUUGAAAAUGUGCAUUGUUUUGGAUUGAAACGGUAUGUUCAUAUCUUUAUAUUUUAUAUCUCUUACUGUACAAUCACAAUUGUUAAUUUUAUUAUUUACAUCCUUGCUUUUUUAUGUUUUCAUUCUUUCAAUUUUUAAAAUAAGUUGUUGAGGUGCCACCGUGUUUUUGACAAUUAGACCAAGGUAAAUACUGCACUUUUAUAUCUUCUCUGGGUUCCUAAUAAACUGAGAACAGAGCCAGAUGAGUGCCAAGAGCAGGGAUGGCUUUAUUAUGGAGAACUAGUUUUGUGCCUAAGGGCAAAUGGAAUUGCCCUUUCCUUCUUCAUUGAAUUGAGGAAACUUGGUCCUGCAGCCUAGGAUGACCAAGUUACAUACUCAGCUGAAAGCUAGACACUUAGGAACAAAAGAGUAGAGUGCCAGAGGUAGAAAUGUGCCAAGUCCCACAAUGAUAAGGCACGGACAUGUUUUAAAAACAGCAAAGUAAAUGAGAACACGCUCUUUCUGCUUGAAUGGGGGUGGGGUAUCCGGAUGUCACUUUCUCCACUUUCCACUGGUCAGAUUAUUCUCUCUCAGAUAGAAAACUGCACAUGAAGGAGGGGAAGGAGAAACCAGCCAGGGGCGGGAUCAGCUCCCUUACUUCUCUGUAAACACGAGAAACAAGGAGAUUCAUAUUUCGAGAUGCUUCGAAUACUACCGAAAACAAAACCUAACAGGGAAAGGAGAGAAGAUGAGCGACUUAAGUGGAACGACAAAACAACGAAUUGCCACAACUUCAACCAGAAGCGACGGGGAUCAUCUGCCAAACACCCUGCCUUUGGGCCAACGUGAGAUGAGACCGUGCAGGCCAAGAGGCUAUGCACACCUCCUGGGACCACAGGCCACACACGAGACCUCCCAAUUGUUGUUACCACCCAGAAGUCGCCUCCAGGGGACCUUAGACCAGCCACGGUCUAAUCCGUGGAUGGUUUAACUCUGGAACCACCUGGCCAUCGCUGCCCUGACUCAUCUGCACAGACACUUUGAAAUCUGCAGACUCCUGUGAGAGGUCAAGGUUACCUCGUGUUCAUUUGUUGCUGAUGCAUCUGCUAGUGAAAUCCUAGGGCUCCAUUUCACUGACUUCCCUUUUGGGAUGAAAGAAAAUCUGGCACGUUGACUUUCUUUUUGACACUUCACUGCAGCAGAACUCUCCCCGGUUGAGAUGUGUGUGUAAGGGAUCAAUUUAAUGCAUUUCUUUGUCUUUGCACCAAGUGGUUUCUUGGUGUCGCUUUCCUAAGUGGAGUUUCUUCUCGCAGACUGUGGCUUGCAGUUCCAGCGCAGAGAAGAUGUUGUUCUCCAUGGAAGUGAAUUGAUGCCCCUCCGGGAGUCUGGAUGCUAUCAAGAUGAAAAAGGAGUGGCCAAGCCAGAGUGAUGCUUCUGUCUUCGCUCCUUGGAAUGAAGGUGGGGAAGGAUGCCUGAGUCACCAAGUCCCCUCCUCCAGACCCACAGGCCUGCUGGCUUCCAUUUGGCUUACAAGUGCCCAAGUAUCCAGAGCUGCCCUUCACUCCCCUCCAGAAUCCCUCCCAUGCCCUCACAUCCUUUCUGGAACAGACUGGCUUCCUCUUGCCUUAUCUCCAUGUUCCAAUGCUUGGGGGUCUUCUCUGUUCCACUUCGCUAGGAAUGAGUGAGGCCUCAUCUGUUGAGCUGGGCCAUGCUGAUGUACUCCCUUCUUGUGUGUUCUCCCAGGCAAAAUGCCUGGGCCCACCAUGGCACUCUUCUUUAGGAGGGCCUUCCAAUGUCUUUGGGAGGCCUGGCAGCAAGAGUUACAUCGGUGUUAACUUCAGCAAUGAAAUUAACAGUGAUGAAGGUGUAAUCGUCUUCAUUCGGAAGUUAAUUGUGUAAAUAUCAGUGAAUGUUUUGGAGUUUGGGUGCCUGGUAACUUCAGUGAGAGCCAGUGUCCCCAUACAUUGCUACAAAGUCCAUCUUGGCCUACAUGAAUGGAGAGAUGGAGUGUGGAUCAGAGGAGCUAACUCUGCUGUCCUCUAUGCUGGCUUCUUGGUCCGGAACCUCAUAAUUCACCUGUCCAUUGCAUUAUAGAAAGAACCUUGAAAACGAAUCCAAGAGACAGUGAUGAACAUUUUGAGGAAUCUAGAAACCAUGCUGUACGGAGGCGCUGCCCUUCUCGGAAGGUUAAAAGCUAAGCCGGCUCUGUAGGAAGCAGCUCCAGUGUUCAGCCAAGUCUGGUGGAGUCAUUUGCCCUGCCUCCGUGCAGUGAGCUUGAGUCGGCACUUUUCCACUCUGCGGAUGGGAAGCUUGGCAGUAAACUGGCAGACUAGACUGAUGGCACCGAGCAGGGCUUUGGAGGUUGACGUUCACACGACAGCAUCUUCAGGACCCACAGCCUUUUCAUGCAGAUACGCAGGAAUAAGACUCCUUCCCCGUGCCUUACCCGGCAGAUUCUACAGGAAAGAGAAAAGCAGAAGGAAAGGAACACUGGUGUUGAAUUUACUAAGAAAAGCAAGUUCCAGUGGAA